rnacentral:rRNA from 1 species
GACGAACGCUGGCGGCGUGCCUAAUACAUGCAAGUUGAGCGCUGAAGGUUGGUCCUUGUACCAACUGGAUGAGCAGCGAACGGGUGAGUAACGCGUGGGGAAUCUGCCUUUGAGCGGGGGACAACAUUUGGAAACGAAUGCUAAUACCGCAUAAAAACUUUAAACACAAGUUUUAAGUUUGAAAGAUGCAAUUGCAUCACUCAAAGAUGAUCCCGCGUUGUAUUAGCUAGUUGGUGAGGUAAAGGCUCACUAAGGCGAUGAUACAUAGCCGACCUGAGAGGGUGAUAGGCCACAUUGGGACUGAGACACGGCCCAAACUACUACGGGAGGCAGCAGUAGGGAAUCUUCGGCAAUGGACGAAAGUCUGACCGAGCAACGCCGCGUGAGUGAAGAAGGUUUUCGGAUCGUAAAACUCUGUUGGUAGAGAAGAACGUUGGUGAGAGUGGAAAGCUCAUCAAGUGACGGUAACUACCCAGAAAGGGACGGCUAACUACGUG